GUUAUGGGCGAUAUUAGAUUCAGACUCAGUUUUAUUCUCAUUCAUCAACAGUACAUGAUAGAAUGAAAUAUAGUUACCCAGGUCUCGGUUUUGUAGCAUAGAAGAUAAAAGGAUGAAAUAUAUAAAAGGUGAAUUGGGUAGAAUAAAAACUACCAUAAAAUGUGCAAACAAAAUAA